GCUCUAAUGAUGAUAUCCCAUGCGUGUCAUCUGAAGCCCAUGUCUCCCUCUUGCGGCAGCUCUCUGGUCAGCGUCUUGCCGGCCGGAACAGUCUGCCCUAGAGGAGUCUGGGAAAUGAUCACACCAUUUUGUCUGAAAGC